rnacentral:rRNA from 1 species
CGCGUAGGCGGCUCGGUAAGUCUGGAGUGAAAGUCCUGCUUUUAAGGUGGGGAAUUGCUUUGGAUACUGUCGGGCUUGAGUGCAGGAGAGGUUAGUGGAAUUCCCAGUGUAGCGGUGAAAUGCGUAGAGAUUGGGAGGAACACCAGUGGCGAAGGCGAUCUACUGGAACAUUAUUGACGUUGAGAUGCGAAAGCGUGGGGAGCAAACA